rnacentral:rRNA from 1 species
CCUACGUGAUGCAGCAGUGAGGAAUAUUGGUCAAUGGACGAGAGUCUGAACCAGCCAAGUAGCGUGAAGGAUGACUGCCCUAUGGGUUGUAAACUUCUUUUAUAUGGGACUAAAAUGUUCCACGUGUGGAAUUUUGUAUGUACCUUAUGAAUAAGGAUCGGCUAACUCCGUGCCAGCCGCCGCGGUAAUACGGAGGAUCCGAGCGUUAUCCGGAUUUAUUGGGUUUAAAGGGAGCGUAGAUGGAUUGUUAAGUCAGUUGUGAAAGUUUGCGGCUCAACCGUAAAAUUGCAGUUGAAACUGGCAGUCUUGAGUACAGUAGAGGUGGGCGGAAUUCGUGGUGUAGCGGUGAAAUGCUUAGAUAUCACGAAGAACGCCGAUUGCGAAGGCAGCUCACUGGACUGUAACUGACACUGAGGCUCGAAAGUGUGGGUAUCAAACAGGAUUAGAUACCCUUGUAGUC